CUAUGAUACAUUUACAGUGGAACAUAAUGACCUAGUGCUCUUCAGACUUCACUGGAAAAAUACUGAGGUGAACUUGAUGCUAAAUGAUGGAAAAGAGAAAUAUGAAAAAGAAAAAAUAAAAAGCAUAAGUUCUGAGCAUGUCAAUGAAGAAAAAGCAGAAGAACACAUGGAUCUGAGGCUAAAGCAUUGCUUAGCCUAUGUUCUACAUACAUCAGGGACUACAGGGAUACCGAAGAUUGUCAGAGUGCCUCAUAAGUGUAUAGUACCAAAUAUCCAGCAUUUUCGGGUACUUUUUGACAUCACACAAGAAGAUGUUUUGUUUCUGGCUUCACCUCUGACCUUCGAUCCUUCUGUUGUGGAAAUAUUUCUUGCUCUAUCAAGUGGUGCCUCUCUGCUUAUUGUACCAACUUCCGUCAAGUUGCUCCCAUCAAAAUUAGCAGCGUUCUCUUUUCCCAUCAUAGGGUGACUGUUUUGCAGGCAACACCAACAUUGCUUAGAAGAUUUGGAUCUCAGCUUAUCAAGUCAACUGUUUUGUCAGCCACUACUUCUCUUCGAGUAUUAGCCCUUGGUGGUGAAGCGUUUCCAUCAUUGACAGUUCUCAGAAGCUGGAGAGGAGAAGGCAAUAAAACACAAAUAUUUAAUGUUUAUGGUAUCACAGAGGUAUCAAGUUGGGCGACCAUUUAUAGGAUUCCAGAGAAGACUCUUAACUCUACUCUCAAGUAAGGGUUUUCAUUGUACUAUAUAGAGAAGAGAGGCUGUAUAUUUCUAGGAUCUUAACACUGACAGUGUUUUUGAUAGGUGCUGGGGUAAUAAUUUUAGAAACAUGAUUGUAUCUGAUAUUUUAAGUUGGGAAUCCAGAACCUUCCUUACUAUAGCUGGUGCCAAGAUACUGCUACAACUUUUUGUACUAAAUAGUAAUGAAUAACAUAUAUGGUUACCUUUCCACCUAACCUUUUCCUCUUGUCAGUCUUUGAAUUAGAGCGUAACAAACUUUUUU
rnacentral:lncRNA from 1 species